UACAGAGGUCCCAAGCGUUGUUCGGAUUCACUGGGCGUAAAGGGUGCGUAGGCGGUCGGGUAAGUCUGAUGUGAAAUCUCGGAGCUCAACUCCGAAACUGCAUUGGAUACUAUUCGGCUUGAGGUCUGGAGGGGGGACUGGAAUACUUGGUGUAGCAGUGAAAUGCGUAGAUAUCAAGUGGAACACCAGUGGCGAAGGCGAGUCUCUGGACAUUUCCUGACGCUGAGGCACGAAAGCCAGGGGAGCAAACGGG
rnacentral:rRNA from 1 species